GGAAGGAAAGGAAUCCUCCCUGUCUGCAUGCGGCUCCAUGACUAGAGGGCAGAGUUAGCUUUUCUUCCGCUUAGAACUGAAGAGGAUCAGUCUACCCCAAAGAUAAAAAGGAAGCUAUAGGGGAAAAACCACAAUAUAUAAGGAAUGUCCUCUACAAAGGGCUCCAGUGCUUGUCCUGCCUUUUGACACAACAUAGUCCACAAGGAAGCAAGGGAAAAUCCACCCCUACUUCCAAGAGCAGUUUCCUCUUUGUGGCCAGGUUUCUCUUGCAUUGAUGGUUUGUACUGACUGACCUUCUUGAAUUCCUCAGGGUUUAAUAACUGAAAGUCCCCAAGGACAUGCCUAAUUUUUUUUCUCAGAGA